rnacentral:rRNA from 1 species
GGCGAACGGGUGAGUAACGCUUCGGNAAUCUGCCAAUGGUGGGGAAUAACCAGCCGAAAGGUUGGCUAAUACCGCAUGAGCCCUACGGGGGAAAGCGGGGGAUCGUAAGACCUCGCGCCGAUGGAUGAGCCGAAGCCGGAUUAGCUAGUUGGUAGGGUAACGGCCUACCAAGGCGACGAUCCGUAGCUGGUCUGAGAGGACGACCAGCCACACUGGGACUGAGACACGGCCCAGACUCCUACGGGAGGCAGCAGUGGGGAAUAUUGGACAAUGGGGGAAACCCUGAUCCAGCGACGCCGCGUGUGUGAAGAAGGCCUGCGGGUUGUAAAGCACUUUUAGUGGGGAUGAAAAGCUCAGGGUUAAACCUCUGGGUCUGGACUUAACCAAAGGAAAAAGGCACGGGUUAAUUCUG